AUAGAAAUCCAAUUUGAUCAAGCUCUAAUAAGUAAUAAAAUAUUAUUUAUUUCGAAAAAUAUAAAUCAAAAAGAUCAAAGUGAAUUAGAAAUUUAAUUAUUUAUUUAUUUGUGCAAAUACAUAUUUGUACAUAAUCAAACGUACAUAUAGUGUUUUUUAUUGUCGUCUUCUUUUUGUUAUCAUUUAAUUCUUUCUACGAGAAGAAUGUAUACAGUUAUAUUUUCAAUAUAAAAGGAAAAAUAACAUGAGGUUCAUCAAAUUAGUACCUUCCUCAAGAAGGAAAAAUCGUAAAAAUCACUUCACCGUUUCUUUUCAUAUACGUAGAAGGUUAAUAUCUGGAUCUCUUUCAAAAGAUUUAAAACAAAAAUACAACGUACGAUCCGUGUCUAAAAACAAGGAUGGUGAAGUACAGUUUUACAUUAAAUGAUGUUAUUUUUAUUGGGACAUUUUUCUUUUUGCACAGUAUAAAAUAGAAGUAACUUGAAGUUAUUGAUUAGCUGCUCUAUGGGAAAGUUGGAAUAUAAAAGGUUGUUCGUGGACGUUAGAAAGGUCAAUAAGUUGAUAAAGUUAUUGAAGUGUACAGAAAGAAAAAUGUUAUCUCUUAAAGACCAUAAUUCUAAAACUUGAAGUGGACAAAGAUAGGAGGAAGAAAUUAAUGAAAAACGAGGUAAAAGCAAACUUGCUGCCUUGAGUAAAAAUAAAGGGAAAUAUACUGAAGAUACCAUGGUUGUCGUGCAAUCUUCGCAGAUACUGAAAGAAUAUAUUUUAUUUGGUACAGUAAAGUAUUACGCUUACAUGAAACUUUUUGUUUAAAUAUCCAAUUUAUUAAACAUGAUAUUUUGUAUAUAUAUUAUAAUUUACAUGUCUGAAAAAAUACAUUUAACUUCUUUAUAGUAAACAUUGCAUAUAUGUGAUUUUGUUUUCAUGCCUACUUAUAUAUUAUAUAUUAUAGCAUUAUAUGCUUAAAUUAUUCUACUAUUAUAUGACAAGAUAAAAAUAAUUGAAUCCAUGGUUAAUAGUAAACA